UACGGAGGGUGCAAGCGUUAUCCGGAUUUACUGGGUUUAAAGGGUGCGUAGGCGGGUAGGUAAGUCAGUGGUGAAAUCUUCGAGCUCAACUCGGAAACUGCCAUUGAUACUAUUUAUCUUGAAUAUUGUGGAGGUGAGCGGAAUAUGUCAUGUAGCGGUGAAAUGCUUAGAUAUGACAUAGAACACCAAUUGCGUAGGCAGCUCGCUACACAUAUAUUGACGCUGAGGCACGAAAGCGUGGGGAUCAAACAGG
rnacentral:rRNA from 1 species